GAUGAACGCUGGCGGCGUGCCUAAUACAUGCAAGUCGAGCGAACGGACGAGAAGCUUGCUUCUCUGAUGUUAGCGGCGGACGGGUGAGUAACACGUGGAUAACCUACCUAUAAGACUGGGAUAACUUCGGGAAACCGGAGCUAAUACCGGAUAAUAUUUUGAACCGCAUGGUUCAAAAGUGAAAGACGGUCUUGCUGUCACUUAUAGAUGGAUCCGCGCUGCAUUAGCUAGUUGGUAAGGUAACGGCUUACCAAGGCAACGAUGCAUAGCCGACCUGAGAGGGUGAUCGGCCACACUGGAACUGAGACACGGUCCAGACUCCUACGGGAGGCAGCAGUAGGGAAUCUUCCGCGAUGGGCGAAAGCCUGACGGAGCAACGCCGCGUGAGUGAUGAAGGUCUUCGGAUCGUAAAACUCUGUUAUUAGGGAAGAACAUAUGUGUAAGUAACUGUGCACAUCUUGACGGUACCUAAUCAGAAAGCCACGGCUAACUACGUGCCAGCAGCCGCGGUAAUACGUAGGUGGCAAGCGUUAUCCGGAAUUAUUGGGCGUAAAGCGCGCGUAGGCGGUUUUUUAAGUCUGAUGUGAAAGCCCACGGCUCAACCGUGGAGGGUCAUUGGAAACUGGAAAACUUGAGUGCAGAAGAGGAAAGUGGAAUUCCAUGUGUAGCGGUGAAAUGCGCAGAGAUAUGGAGGAACACCAGUGGCGAAGGCGACUUUCUGGUCUGUAACUGACGCUGAUGUGCGAAAGCGUGGGGAUCAAACAGGAUUAGAUACCCUGGUAGUCCACGCCGUAAACGAUGAGUGCUAAGUGUUAGGGGGUUUCCGCCCCUUAGUGCUGCAGCUAACGCAUUAAGCACUCCGCCUGGGGAGUACGACCGCAAGGUUGAAACUCGAAGGAAUUGACGGGGACCCGCACAAGCGGUGGAGCAUGUGGUUUAAUUCGAAGCAACGCGAAGAACCUUACCAAAUCUUGACAUCCUUUGACAACUCUAGAGAUAGAGCUUUCCCCUUCGGGGGACAAAGUGACAGGUGGUGCAUGGUUGUCGUCAGCUCGUGUCGUGAGAUGUUGGGUUAAGUCCCGCAACGAGCGCAACCCUUAAGCUUAGUUGCCAUCAUUAAGUUGGGCACUCUAAGUUGACUGCCGGUGACAAACCGGAGGAAGGUGGGGAUGACGUCAAAUCAUCAUGCCCCUUAUGAUUUGGGCUACACACGUGCUACAAUGGACAAUACAAAGGGCAGCGAAACCGCGAGGUCAAGCAAAUCCCAUAAAGUUGUUCUCAGUUCGGAUUGUAGUCUGCAACUCGACUACAUGAAGCUGGAAUCGCUAGUAAUCGUAGAUCAGCAUGCUACGGUGAAUACGUUCCCGGGUCU
rnacentral:rRNA from 1 species